rnacentral:rRNA from 1 species
UACCAGCUCUCCGAGUUGUUAGGGAUGAUUAUUGGGCUUAAAGCGUCCGUAGCUGGCUUAGCAAGUCUCCUGUUAAAUUCAGCGACCUAAUCGUUGAGCCGCGGGAGAUACUACUAGGCUAGGAGGCGGGAGAGGUCGACGGUACUUUCGGGGUAGGGGUGAAAUCCUAUAAUCCCGGGAGGACCACCAGUGGCGAAGGCUGUCGACUAGAACGCGCUCGACGGUGAGGGACGAAAGCUGGGGGAGCGAACCGGAUUAGAUACCCGGGUAGUCCCAGCUGUAAACUAUGCGGGCUAGGUGUUGGGGUGGCUACGGGCCACUUCAGUGCCGCAGGAAAGCCAUUAAGCCCGCCGCCUGGGGAGUACGGCCGCAAGGCUGAAACUUAAAGGAAUUGGCGGGGGAGCACCACAAGGCGUGAAGCUUGCGGUUC